UGUUUCUUGCAGUUGGAUCCUUUGGAAAAGGAGUGGCUGAAGUGUGCUGCCAGUGGGCAAUUAACUGCUUUGUGUGAUCUCCUCAGGCAGGAUCCAUCUUUGGCAACAAAAAAGGACUUCACGUCUGGGGUAAGUACCUAAUCAAACAGAUUCUAUAGUCUGUAUAUCUCUGAAUUUUGUUUAGGUUUCAUUUGUCCCACACUGGUAUAAAUUGCAACUUGUAAAAUUUCUCGUC